GGAGUUAUCCGGUGCUUCUUCUGUGAGUGAUGUCCUUCCUGCCGGCUAUUAACCCGCAGGCCUUCUUCCUCACUGAAAGUGCUUUACAACCCGAAGGCCUUCUUCACACACGCGGCAUGGCUGGAUCAGGGUUGCCCCCAUUGUCCAAUAUUCCCCACUGCUGCCUCCCGUAGGAGUCUGGGCCGUGUCUCAGUCCCAGUGUGGCUGAUCAUCCUCUCAGACCAGCUACGGAUCGUCGCCUUGGUGAGCCGUUACCUCACCAACCAGCUAAUCCGACAUAGGCUCAUCCGAUAGCGCGAGGCCCGAAGGUCCCCCGCUUUCCCCCGUAGGGCGUAUGCGGUAUUAGCCUGGGUUUCCCCAGGUUAUCCCCCACUACCGGGCAGAUUCCUAUGCAUUACUCACCCGUCCGCCGCUCGCCACCAGGGAGCAAGCUCCCCGUGCUGCCGCUCGACUUGCAUGUGUUAGGCCUGCCGCCAGCGUUCAAUCUGAGCCAGGAUCAAACUCUGA
rnacentral:rRNA from 1 species